rnacentral:lncRNA from 1 species
GUUAUAUCAAAAAUUUUGCAAAUCUGUUGAAUCUCUGGUUUAACAGGAGACAGAUGAAUCCAUAGCUGCUUCUCCAGUGAAUCACAAUUGGUUCAUUGUGACAGUCCAUGUCAUGUAGCUUCUGGGAAACUCCCCACUCCACCCCAGAGAGAAUGAGAGUGAAGAGGACAAGUAAUAUCUUAAUCAUCUUAGUAUCUGGAAGACAACAGUUUUGGCCUUGAAGACCCCCACCCACCACUGGGUCUAGGGACCUCCCAGGAGUCCUCAUGCCACAUUUUGAGAAUCACAGCUCUGCACAAUCUUCAGGAUCAAUGACACCUACAUCUAGGCCGUGGUGAAAUGAGAAGUAACGGAGUCCCAGCAGUAAUGCGGCACUUGGCUGUCCCCUGGCUUCGGUAGACACUCCUUCGCCAGAAUGCUUCCUUCCAUGCGCAGAGGGGUCUUCCGUCUGUAACCCCUGACCUCUCUCUGCGCCUAUGCCCUCUUCUCUUCCCCAGGAAGAUGUGUGACCUAUCUCAUUGGUAAAUUUGGGGUGAUAAAACUGAGGCUGUCUCUGGAAGAGCACAUGCUCUCUGCUCCUCCACGAUUAAACACAGGAGUCCUGAGCUGGGUGGGCAAAUCUACUUGACGCGGUUGGCUUUGAGGCUAUUGGAACUGGAGCUGCAUCUUCUAGACUGACCUCUGCCGGUGAUGUGCUCACAUUUCAUCUUCCAAUG